AAAGGCUCUUUUCAGAGCCACCCACAAAAUCACUAGAAAGCUG
rfam:Mesitornis unicolor contig78543, whole genome shotgun sequence.